rnacentral:rRNA from 1 species
GAUGAACGCUGGCGGCGUGCCUAAUACAUGCCAGUCGAGCGAACGGACGAGAAGCUUGCUUCUCUGAUGUUAGCGGCGGACGGGUGAGUAACACGUGGAUAACCUACCUAUAAGACUGGGAUAACUUCGGGAAACCGUAGCUAAUACCGGAUAAUAUUUUGAACCGCAUGGUUCAAAAGUGAAAGACGGUCUUGCUGUCACUUAUAGAUGGAUCCGCGCUGCAUUAGCUAGUUGGUAAGGUAACGGCUUACCAAGGCAACGAUGCAUAGCCGACCUGAGAGGGUGAUCGGCCACACUGGAACUGAGACACGGUCCAGACUCCUACGGGAGGCAGCAGUAGGGAAUCUUCCACAAUGGGCGAAAGCCUGACGGAGCAACGCCGCGUGGGUGAUGAAGGUCUUCGGAUCGUAAAACUCUGUUAUUAGGGAAGAACAUAUGUGUAAGUAACUGUGCACAUCUUGACGGUACCUAAUCAGAAAGCCACGGCUAACUACGUG